rnacentral:rRNA from 1 species
GAUGAACGCUGGCGGCGUGCCUAAUACAUGCAAGUCGAGCGAACGGACGAGAAGCUUGCUUCUCUGAUGUUAGCGGCGGACGGGUGAGUAACACGUGGAUAACCUACCUAUAAGACUGGGAUAACUUCGGGAAACCGUAGCUAAUACCGGAUAAUAUUUUGAACCGCAUGGUUCAAAAGUGAAAGACGGUCUUGCUGUCACUUAUAGAUGGAUCCGCGCUGCAUUAGCUAGUUGGUAAGGUAACGGCUUACCAAGGCAACGAUGCAUAGCCGACCUGAGAGGGUGAUCGGCCACACUGGAACUGAGACACGGUCCAGACUCCUACGGGAGGCAGCAGUAGGGAAUCUUGCGCAAUGGGCGAAAGCCUGACGGAGCAACGCCGCGUGAGUGAUGAAGGUCUUCGGAUCGUAAAACUCUGUUAGUAGGGAAGAACAUAUGUGUAAGUAACUGUGCACAUCUUGACGGUACCUAAUCAGAAAGCCACGGCUAACUACGUG